GGGAAGGUGGCUCAGUGGUAGAGUGCUUGCCUAGCAUGCAUGAGGCCCUGGUUUUCUGGUUGUUAAUUGGAGAUAAGGGUCUCACAGACUUUCCUG
rnacentral:tRNA from 1 species